UGCGUAGGCGGCCACGCGUGUCUUUCGUGAAAUCCCUCGGCUUAACUGAGGACGUGCGGAAGAAACUGCGAGGCUGGAGUCCGGGAGAGGGGGUGGAAUUCCCAGUGUAGCGGUGAAAUGCGUAGAUAUUGGGAGGAACACCGGUGGCAAAGGCGGCCCCCUGGACCGGUACUGACGCUGAUGCGCGAAAGCGUGGGGAGCAAACG
rnacentral:rRNA from 1 species